AUGUAUCACUGUGGUGGACUUUUGGUGGAGGAACUCAACUCAUUGGGAAAACUGUCUGAGGGUUCAGCCUCACUGCUCUGCCUGCUGUCUGGAUACUCUCCACAGGGGGCGCUGGUCAGCUGGACUGUGGACAGCUCAGAGGUGAAGGAGGGGGUUCUGACCAGUGUAGAAGAAGAGAAGAAUGGCCGCUACAGCCGCAGCAGCACCCUGACCCUCAGCAAAGCACUCUGGGAAAAGGGGGAGGAGUUUGGCUGUACGGUCUUCCAUGACAACGUCAAUCAGCCAAUCACCACAGAGAGAGCAGAGUCUUUAGAGCAGGAGGUUUUUGUACAGACGCUGAAUGAGUUUGUAUCACUGUGGUACACUUUUGGUGGAGGAACGAAACUGUCAGUUGGCCGUUUGGCAUCACCCACCCUCACAGUCCUGCCCCCCUCUAGCGAGGGGCUGCUGCAGGGGAAGGUCACACUGGUCUGUUUGGCCAACAAGGGCUUCCCCUCAGACUGGAGGCUGAGCUGGAAGGUGGGUGGGAGCAGCUGGAGCUCGGGGGUUAGCCAGAGCCCCGGGCUUCUGCAGAAGGACGACGGCCUCUACAGCUGGAGCAGCACCCUGACCCUCCAGGAGGAGCAGUGGCUAAAGAACACAGUGACCUGUGAGGCCACCAAGGACUCCCAGCCUACUAUCAGCCAGACACUGAGGAGAGAUCAGUGCUGAGCAGUGAGAACCACGCGGGGGUUUCAGCUGAUAGAGCUCCUCUCACUCUCAAAUGAGCUCAAACACGUCUGUGAUUAAUGCUGGAAUGAUGAUCUGAUUAUUUGACUAAAGAAAAUAAAGCGUUUCA